rnacentral:rRNA from 1 species
AACGAACGCUGGCGGCAUGCCUAACACAUGCAAGUCGAACGAGACCUUCGGGUCUUGUGGCGCACGGGUGCGUAACGCGUGGGAACCUGCCCUUAGGUUCGGAAUAACUCCCCGAAAGGGGUGCUAAUACCGGAUAAUGUCUUCGGACCAAAGAUUUAUCGCCUUUGGAUGGGCCCGCGUUGGAUUAGCUAGUUGGUAGGGUAAAAGCCUACCAAGGCGACGAUCCAUAGCUGGUCUGAGAGGAGGAUCAGCCACACUGGGACUGAGACACGGCCCAGAAUCCUACGGGAAGGAGCAGUGGGGAAUAUUGGACAAUGGGCGAAAGCCUGAUCCAGCAAUGCCGCGUGAGUGAUGAAGGCCUUAGGGUUGUAAAGCUCUUUUACCCGGGAUGAUAAUGACAGUACCGGGAGAAUAAGCUCCGGCUAACUCCGUG